rnacentral:other from 1 species
AAAUUUCUGAAAUAUUCGUCAGACUUAUAUUUUGAACCUACAGAGUUAAUAAGGGAGUCCUAUAUCUCAUCACUGAUAUCAGGCCCAGUGUAAGUCCAUUUAUGGCAGGGGAAGAUAGAGGUAUGUAUGCGGACACCCACCUAUCGAGAGAUAGGUGUCAAAAUUAAGCAACGGUAUUUCGGAUAAAAG